CCUACGGGGGGCAGCAGUGGGGAAUAUUGCGCAAUGGGCGAAAGCCUGACGCAGCGACGCCGCGUGAGGGAUGACGGCCUUCGGGUUGUAAACCUCUUUCAGCGCCGACGAAGCCUCCUUCGGGGGUGACGGUAGGCGCAGAAGAAGCACCGGCUAACUACGUGCCAGCAGCCGCGGUAAUACGUAGGGUGCGAGCGUUGUCCGGAAUUAUUGGGCGUAAAGAGCUCGUAGGCGGCCUGUCGCGUCGGAUGUGAAAACCCACGGCUCAACCGUGGGCCUGCAUCCGGUACGGGCAGGCUAGAGUUCGGCAGGGGAGACUGGAAUUCCUGGUGUAGCGGUGAAAUGCGCAGAUAUCAGGAGGAACACCGGUGGCGAAGGCGGGUCUCUGGGCCGACACUGACGCUGAGGAGCGAAAGCGUGGGGAGCGAACAGGAUUAGAU
rnacentral:rRNA from 1 species